AGCUUCAGUAGCGUAUAUUAAAGUUGUUGCAGUUAAAAAGCUCGUAGUCGCAUUUCUGGCGAGAGGAUCCGGUCCGACCUUUUGGUGGGUUCUUGGGUCUCUUUCGCCAUCCUUGAGUGGUCCGUUCUGGCAUUAGGUUGUCGGAGCGUCAGCCGCUCAUCGUUUACUGUGAGAAAAUUAGAGUGUUCAAAGCAGGCUUAUGCCGUUGAAUAUAUUAGCAUGGAAUAAUAAGAUAGGACCUCGGUACUAUUUUGUUGGUUUGAGAACCAAGGUAAUGAUGAACAGGGACAGUUGGGGGUAUUUGUAUUUCGUUGUCAGAGGUGAAAUUCUUAGAUUUACGAAAGACAAACUACUGCGAAAGCAUUUACCAAGGAUGUUUUCA
rnacentral:rRNA from 1 species